GAUGAAGAACGUAGCGAAAUGCGAUACGUAAUGUGAAUUGCAGAAUUCAGUGAAUCAUCGAGUCUUUGAACGCACAUUGCGCCCGCCAGUAUUCUGGCGGGCAUGCCUGUUCGAGCGUCAUUUCAACCCUCAAGCCCUCGGGUUUGGUGUUGGGGAUCGGCGAGCCUUUCUGGCAAGCCGGCCCCGAAAUCUAGUGGCGGUCUCGCUGCAGCCUCCAUUGCGUAGUAGUAAAACCCUCGCAACUGGAACGCGGCGCGGCCAAGCCGUUAAACCCCCAACUUCUGAAUGUUGACCUCGGAUCAGGUAGGAAUACCCGCUGAACUUAAGCAUAUCAAUAAGCGGAGGA
rnacentral:misc_RNA from 1 species